ACUCAAGAAAUCAAGAAUUGAAGCUAAAAUCUCAAGAAAAUUCGAUGCAUGAGCCCCUCUUUGCGAAAAUCUGACCCUAAUUAUUGAAGUGGCGUGAAAGAAGAAGGUACAAGCACUAAGCAAGCGGAAGGAGCACGAGAUCGAGGCGUGAAAGAAGAAGGUACAAGCACUAAGCAAGCGGAAGGAGCACGAGAUGGAG